rnacentral:rRNA from 1 species
UAUCUCUGUAGAGUCUGCAUAUCAAUAAGCGGAGGAAAAGAAACUAACAAGGAUUCCCUUAGUAACGGCGAGUGAAGCGGGAAGAGCUCAAAUUUGAAAUCUUCAAGGUUUUACCUUGACGAAUUGUAGUUUAAAGAAGUGUUUUCUGUUGAAGUUUCGGUAAAAGUUCUUUGGAAUAGGACAUCAUAGAGGGUGAGAAUCCCGUAUUUGACCGUUAUUUUCAGCUGUGUGAUACACUUUCAAAGAGUCGGAUUGUUUGGGAAUGCAGUCCAAAAUGGGUGGUAAAUUUCAUCUAAAGCUAAAUAUUGGCGAGAGACCGAUAGCGAACAAGUACCGUGAGGGAAAGAUGAAAAGAACUUUGAAAAGAGAGUUAAACAGUACGUGAAAUUGUCAAAAGGGAAGCGUUUGACACCAGUGUUGUUUUUCCGAAAAUCAAUUACAAAUGGCAGUGAUUCUGUGUUGUAUUGACCUUAUCAGCUUUCUGCACUCUUUUCUAGUCUUUCUUAAUGCACUUUUCGUUUAACAAGUCAACAUCAAUUUCUUUUGUUGUAAAAGAGGUCAUUGGAAGGUGGCUUUCUUUUCGGAGAAAGUGUUUAUAGCCUUUGGCCUCUGCAAUCGGAGAGAUUGAGGUCUGCAGCGUAGAUCCUUCGGGGUUAGAUACAUUUGUGCUAAGUUAUAGCCUUUCAUAGACAACUUGUUGACUAUGAUCAGUCAUGUAGCUUACUCGCUUAUGCUAUUUUACCUACGCUUAGGAUGUUGAAGAUGUAGCACAUCAU